rnacentral:misc_RNA from 1 species
AACUGAUACUACCUGCGGGAACCUGCGGAAGGAUCAUUACCGAGUUUUCAACUCCCUAACCCUUCUGUGAACCUACCUAUCGUUGCUUCGGCGGACUCGCCCCAGCCCGGACGCGGACUGGACCAGCGGCCCGCCGGGGACCUCAAACUCUUGUAUUCCAGCAUCUUCUGAAUACGCCGCAAGGCAAAACAAAUGAAUCAAAACUUUCAGCAACGGAUCUCUAGAUCGGAAGAGCACACG